UAUAGUGUUAUCUCUGGUGGUGUCCCACUC
rnacentral:piRNA from 1 species